AGGGGGCUAAAAAUACAGAAAAAUCGGUUUCCGGAAGGGACCAAGCCAUUGGACUGGUUGUGCUGUUCUCCGUUUUCUUGAUUCCAUCUGGAUGGAUCCUGUCGCACCUUGAUGACUACAAGCGCAAGGCAGACUAAAACAUUUGCCUAAACUCUGUGGACCAGUCUGUGGGCUGAAAUGGAAGUUAUCAGCACAAAGCCGCGUAACCAGCUGAGUUGGUGGAACUACUCCAUGGAGUGUGCUGUCCUUACCACUUAUUUUUAUACUUAAUAAAACUAUUGUCAACCGGUUUGUUUUGUA